GUGGGUGAGCAUGGGUGUGCCUGUGGUUCAUGCGCUCUGUGGCUGCAGGGCAGCUGAAGAACAGCUCCAUGGCCCCUCAUUUUCCUCACCCCAUCCACAGAGGGACCAGCAACGGCCCUGCUCACCAGUGGUCCAGGCAUGAGGUGGAUACUGGGGGUGGGUCUGCACUGCCGGGAAGCCAUCUGGGCACUGCUUCCUUCCUGGGCUCUGAGCAUCAGUGUUCAUGAUGAAGAGAGGCAGAGAGCUGGUUUGGAGUCAGACUGUCUGGUGCUCCUGUGUUUUUGGAAAGUUUUUCAGAGCCUGCAUUCCCCUGAGCAGAAUGUGGCUCUUGGCUCCUGCAGAUUUGAAGUUGGCUGCCUCAAGUCAGAUAGAAGCUUGCGAAUUCCACCUGCUUCAGCAGAAUGAAACAUCAGUGCACAGGAUCCAUGUGCUCCUGAUUGCAUCUUCUGUCAUUGUUCAGCUCUGCAGUUACUUUGGAAUGGCUUCUUUCUCACGUAGCCUGUUUGCAUGGUGGCCCAAAAGGCCAUUAGCAGCUCUGAGACUUUGCUUUUAUAAUAUUAGCUUGAUGCAAAAGUAAUUGCAGUCUUUGCACUGUUGAAACUUGCCAUUUGAUAUUGGAACACAUUCUG